AGAUAUGCGAUGAAGCGGGAGGUUGCGGCAGAUUUGCCGGUUUUUCCGUGGAGUAUGUCCGAUUUUAAACCGGGCGACAG
rfam:Clostridium sp. MSTE9 ctg120006482979, whole genome shotgun sequence.